UACGGAAGGCAGCAGUGGGGAAUAUUGGACAAUGGGCGCAAGCCUGAUCCAGCCAUACCGCGUGGGUGAAGAAGGCCUUCGGGUUGUAAAGCCCCUUUUUGUUGGGAAAGAAAUCCAGCUGGUUUAAUACCCGGUUGGGGAUGACGGUACCCAAAGAAUAAGCACCGGCUAACUUCGUGCCAGCAGCCGCGGUAAUACGAAGGGUGCAAGCGUUACUCGGAAUUACUGGGCGUAAAGCGUGCGUAGGUGGUCGUUUUAAGUCCGUUGUGAAAGCCCUGGGCUCAACCUGGGAACUGCAGUGGGAUACUGGGCGACUAGAAUGUGGUAGAGGGUAGCGGAAUUCCUGGUGUAGCAGUGAAAUGCGUAGAGAUCAGGAGGAACAUCCAUGGCGAAGGCAGCUACCUGGACCAAACAUUGACACUGAGGCACGAAAGCGUGGGGAGCAAACAGGGAUUAGAUACC
rnacentral:rRNA from 1 species